UCCCGUUCUGACUUUUUAAGCGGGCGCACAUGAGUUUCCUUUCUCUUUUCCACGCGAGUGAGUGUCUGAGAGCCGAUUAUGAGCAUCUGGUGUGUGGUGCAGAUGGGGAAGCCACCAUGGCGGCCAUCACGGAACAAGUUUUGGCGUCCAUGUUGAGCUAUGUAAAAAUCAAACUUCGGUGGUACAUGGCUGGAAUAGGCACUUGAGGUUACCUCCCUCUGCAAAUCAAGGAGUGCUGUGAAGCUAGCCAGUUGUGACCCCUCUACGUCCAUUGGCAUUUGGCAGAGUCGGAGUGAUCGAAGGUGGCGCUUUGGUGCACACCAGAGGAAUCUCAUGUGACAUGCAAGAAGCCGUGCGGCCUGCUGGUGUCUCCCAACACCCCUGACGGGACAAGCCAGGAUGAAGCUCUUCAUCUGACUGAAGACCAGACUCCUGUGACCCAGAGUUGUAAUUUAUGUAGACUGUGGUGGACUGCCACUUUGGAAUUGUCCCCUUUUAAAGUUGGAAUGCAUGGUGUGAUCCUGCUGUCUAGAGCAUCUAGCAUUUGCCUAGCGAUCCCAAUGGUGUUAAUAGUAUUCUGUAUUGUGCAUUCAUGAAUGUUUUAGAUACAGCUACUCAUUGAUACAAAACAUGCUCUUCUAAUGUAAACUUAGCCUUGUGUACAAUAAUCCAGUUCACAUGAUUGUGAAAGUGUUUCAGUGUUUAGCAGUCACUGUUUAUAAAUGGAGCACUUGUAGUACUGUACAUUAUCUAGGUGGUGUUUUGGAAAUGUGUGGAUCCCAGAGCCAUGACAAUAAAUAAGUGCUGGAAAUUCAA